GACACGUGCCACUCCUGAGCUGAAGUGCUUAAUGAUACCUGUGCCUGCUCCAUCUCUCUCUUUCUUCUCCUGCCUUGAUGUCUUGAAGGUCAUUUGUUCUAGAAGAUGAUAUGCCUAUAACAAGGAGGAAGGUCACCCAGCCUGCACCAGAUAUUUGGUGGAUGCAGAGGGUUCCUGGAAGCGGGACUGUCAUGCACACAGGACUUGAGAGAAAGAGUGUGGAACUAAAAGGAGAAGUCCAGCAAAUCCAGAAUGUUGAAGGAGACAGAAAGUAGAGUCCACUACAAAUAAUCCAAUCAUGUAUUCACCAACUACUUAUUGGAUGUCUACUACGUGCCAGGCACUGUUCUGGGCAUACAUUUUGAGCGUUCAAUAAAAGGGCAGAAUUCAUCACUAGGCUUCAAUCAAUAACUAGGUUUUAUAUGAACGUGUAGUCAAAACCAGUUUGUAAAGGCACUGCCACAGUGAAUUCUGUAAGCUUAAUACAUCCCUGCUAUGGACUGAAUUGUGUUCCCCAAAAUUCAUAUAUUGAAGCCCUGACUUCCAGCGUGAUGGUAUUUGGACAUGGGACUUGAGGUAACUAGAUAUAGAUAAGGUCAUGAGGGUGGGGCCCUCACGAUGGGAUUAGUGCCUUUAUAAGUAGAGACCAGAAAACUAUCUCUCUGUCUUUCUCUCUCUCUCUCUCUCUCUCUCUCUCAGUCUCUGUCUCUCUCUCCAUCCAUCCAUCUCCACAUCUCCAUCACUCUCCUUCUCUCAGAUUUACUGCUCUUUGCACAUUAGCCUCCUUCCCUCAUCUGAUGAUGGCUUCCUCCAGGUAGUCAGGGAAAAUGUCCCCGAGAUUCACCAAGUUUAUUGUCCUCACUAUUUCUUCUCCCAGAGGAAGAGAAACCCUCCCUUUCUCAGGACCUCUAUCUGUCCCUAGUGAGAACUCUGAUUGACCCUGUUGGAGCAUAUGCUCCCUUCUGGGCUCAUCAUGAGACCCAGGAAAUUGGAGAACUCUCAUUGGCCAUCCUGGAGAAGGGCCAAGAAGUGAUUGGAGCAGGGAGAAGCGACUUUGAUAAAGGAAAAAUGAGUGUUGCCAGAAGAAGAGAAAAGGAAUACUGGCCAGGUAAGAAUUACUGAGAUCCCCUGCAUCACCCAGUGGCUACUUGCCUCUGGGCCUGUGUCCUCUAUGGGACCAAAAUGGCAUUGCAAAUGACAGUGUAAUGAAGCCUUCCUCUGCAUCUGCCCAAUCCUGACACCCUACCCGCCUUCAUGCCUCAAUCCAAAUGCUACCACCUCUGUGAGGCCUUCCCGAUUCCCUAAGAUCAAAAGUAGUCAUCCUGCCCCCAUUGUCAAGGAUAUACACUGGCCAAUGAUGGUGCUAGGCUCUUACAUCAUCUCCCAGAUCCUCACAUCUCCGGGAAAUAAGUACGGUUAUUGCCCCCUGUAUUUGAUGGCUAAGGCUGCCGUAACAAAGACUCAUAAAAACUAGGUAGCUUAAACAACAGUCAUGAAUUCUCUUGCUGUUCUAGAGGCAAGAUGUCCAAAGUCAAGGUGUCAGUCUGGCUGGUUCCUCCUGAAGGCUGUGAGGGAAAGUCUGUUCCAGGCCACUCCCCAAGCCCUAGGCAUUCCUUGGCUUGGAGAUGACCAUCUUCUCCCUGUGUCUUCACUUCGUCUUCUCUCUGUACAUGUCUGUCUCUGUUUCCAAAUUUCCCUUCUUAUAAGGACAACUCAACUUAGAUAUUGGAUAGAUAUUGGAUUAGAACUAACCUUAAGAACUUCAUCUUAACUUGAUCAUCUGCAAAGACCCUGUUUCACAUUCACGGGUACUGAUGGUUAGAACUUCAACAUCUUUUGGGAGGCAUGUGAUUCCAUCUAUUAAGCCCCCCUUUUUUCUCCACAUGAGGAAACUGAGUCAGAGAAUUUCGGUAAUAUUCCAGGGCCACAAAGCCAGUAGGCAUCCUAGAUGCUAAGGCCUGGGGGUCUUAACAACUUCACUAUGUCUCUAUUCUCGUUUUUCUCCAGAAAUUUCAUCUCUCUUCAGAACACUCAACAGACUCAACAGGACACUAUUUAUGGGAUUCGUGUAUAAUUUUGCAUCACCCGUCUAGACUGUAAGCUCCUUUAAAACAGGAAUUGAACCUAUUAUUUCUUUUUUUUUCUUUCUUUCUUUUUUUUGAGACGGAGUCUCACUGACUCUGUCACCCAGGCUAGAGUGCAGUGGUGGGAUCUCAACUCACUGCAACCUCCACCUCCCAGGUUCAAGCAAUUCUCCUGCCUCUGCCACCCAUGUAGCUGGGGUUACAGGAAUGCACCACCAUGCCUGGCUAAUUUUGUGUUUUUAGUAAGAGACAGGGUUUCACCAUGUUGGCCAGGCUGGUCUCAAACUCCUGACCUCGAACGACCCACCUGCCUCAGCCUCCCAAAGUGCUGGGAUUACAGGUGUGAGCCACUGCUCCUGGCCUGAACCUAUUGUUUCUGUUUCCCCAGCCCACCCAGCAAGGGCCCGGUCAACAGCUCUCAGAUGAAUAGAGGUGAACACCAAAAUCAGAGGAAAAGGUGGCUGGUGUUCUUCCUGGAACAUUUCAUUUUUGAACCAGAGAAGGCUCAUCUUGAAGCGUUAAUAAAGAAGCUUUUAUUUGUCCCUUUGGCUUAUUCAUUCUCUCAACAACUAUUUAAUGAUCCCCUCCUAUGAGUCGAGCAUACUGCUAGGCACUGAGAUAAAUCAGGCAGAACCUACACCCUCUUAGAGCUUACAACCUGGUAAACAAGACAGAUGAGUCAAUAGAUCCUUCUAAUGCAAUAUCUCAGGGAGCACUUAUUUCUCAAGUAAAGAUUGUUUUGGAGUCAGGAGUCCUCAGAAAAACAAUGAAGUCAGGACUUGCCUUCUAAGGCAAGGACUUGAACGACUUCUAAGAAGUUGGAGAAGAGGCCCUAUAAGCCAGAGACCAUCUUAAAACAUCAAACUACAGGUCAGGCAUGUUGGUUCACAACUGUAAUCUCAGCACUUUGGGUGUCCAAGUCGAGGACAUCACUUGAGCCCAAGAGUUUGAGACCAGCCUGGACAUCAUGGCAAGACUCUGUCUCUACAAAAAAUAAAACUAAAUUAGCUAGUCAUGGUGGUGCCUGCCUGUGGUCCCAGCUACUUGGGAGGCUGGGGUGGGAGGAUUGCUUGAGCUCUGGAGUUUGAGGCUGUAGUGAGCGGUAAUCACGCAACUGCACUCCAGCCUGGGCAAUAGAGUGAGACUCCACCUCCCAAAAAACCAUUAAACUAUAAUACAAGAGAAUUCCAGCAAAUAAUCUCCUUGCUCCUGGUAUGGCAGAGAGCCAGACUGAAAAGAGUAUGCUUGAGACACUACCUUGGAGCUUGGUCUAAGCCAGCAAACCAUAGAAAAACCUCACAUAGGUUUCAAAUCCAGGCAAGCCUGGGUUCAGAUACAGACUCUACUACUCAUUAGCUACAUGCAGUUAGGGAAAUCUCCUAAUCUUUGUCUUAGUUUCUUCAUCUAUAAAAUGGGAUGAUAAUAACAAAUUGACCCAGUUCUUAUGUGGAUUAGGUGAAACAAAUACACAAAGGACAUCCUGUAGUAGAAAAGGCUCUAUAAAUGUCAUCAAAGCAGAUUUUGGACAUAUCAGACCUGGGUUUGAAUUCCAGCUCUGCUCAAUGCCACCUUGGGAAGCUACUAGACCUCACUA
rnacentral:lncRNA from 1 species